UCCUUCAACCAAACUCACCCUGAAUGAGCCCAAUCUCGUUUGAUCUUGGAAGCUAGAGGAUCGAGCCGGGUAAGUGCUUGGAAGGGUGACCACCAGUGCAUACCAGGUGUUGUAGGCA
rnacentral:rRNA from 1 species